rnacentral:tRNA from 1 species
GCCGAUGUGGUGAAAUUGGUAGACACGCUGUCUUGAGGGGGCAGUGGAGGUUACUCCGUGCCAGUUCGAGUCUGGCCAUCGGCACCA